CAGUAGCCGCGGGAAAACGAGGGGUGCAAGCGUUAUUCGGAUUGAUUGGGUGUAAAGGGUGUGCAGACGGCUUAUUAAGUCACUUGUUAAAUUCUUCGGCCUAACCGAAAGUCUGCAAGUGAUACUGAUGAGCUAGAGGGUGGAAGAGAGAAGUGGAAUUCUCGGAGUAGCGGUAAAAUGCGUAGAUCUCGAGAGGAACACCGGUGGCGAAGGCAGCUUCUUGGUCCAUUCCUGACGUUCAUACACGAAAGCGUGGGGAGCAAACAGGAUUAGAUACCCGAGUAGUCCCUGUCUCUUAUAC
rnacentral:rRNA from 1 species